UUAAACAUGAUUACCUCGGUGUAGAGAGGUUUUUCAGCCUUGCCGAGAUGUGCAGUAACGAGAUAGAUAAAUUCGGGAUACUGGAUUUAUUGAUGCUUUCCGCAGAGAGUGAUCCUGUGGAGAAGAUGGAAACCGUCAACAAUGCUGUGCAGUGUAUCAUCAUAGAGAAAAUCAAAAGCAGAAUCCUUGUGGUCGGCGUAGAAAAGACGCUUACGGUGUAAGAAUAAUCCAUUGAUGUGAGUGGUGUGAGAGACCCCGGACUAAAUGGAACAUCUCAAACAAGUCGAUUUGCAUUGAACCUGAGAAAUCGGGGUAUAACACAAGAAAUUCGUUAAAGUAGCGGUAUGGCAGCAAACAAAAAGUUUCCUCGAUAGCGAAUUGAGAAAAAAACAUCUGAAAGAACCGUGAAAUUUGCAGGUGAAAUCCUGCAUGUGCUUUGACCGCGGCAAGAAGCAUAGGGUCGCUCCCGAAAGCUCAGACUUGUCGUCACAUUGGCUGAAUAUGAUUGCAUCGGCGAUGGAUAAGGGGAAGCCCUAAUCAUGUUUAUUUU
rnacentral:sRNA from 1 species